GUACUCGCUUCAGCAGCACAUAUACUAAAAUUGGAAUGAUACAGAGAAGAUUAGAAUGUCCCCUGAGCAAGGAUGACAUGCAAAUUCAUGAAGCAUUCCAUGUUUUU
ensembl:snRNA U6 U6 spliceosomal RNA